GACCGCGUAGCUCAGUUGGCAGAGCAUUGGUCAAGUAUUCCAAAGGUCGUAGGUUCGAUUCCCACCGUGGUCA